rnacentral:lncRNA from 1 species
GUAUGAGAAAGAAUACAUUGAGCCAGCAGUGAAGUCCCAUUAAAGGAAAUACUGACCGAGUGUUUUAUACUUCAGAAAAGCUGGAAGGAUUAAAGUGCAAUCUUUGUGCUUGCUGCCUUGCAGGCCUGCAGCGUAUGCAGAGUGAGAGGAUGUCAAGCUGUGAUUGCCUUCUGAGAGGAGUAAAACAGUAAUCAGAUCAGCAGUGAAAGUGGAUCAAGAUACGAUAUCUCCUGCACCACCAAUACUGAAAUAAACCGCAUAGCUCAUGAGCAUUCAACGCAGAAGACGCUUUCUCUCAAGGUAGACUUGUAUCUGAUUCUGAGUAGAAGACUUCAAGUUCAGGAAGGCAUAUCAGUCCCAAUGAGGCUUGUGAACCAGCUCAUGGAGAAGAAAGGAGAGGAGUCGUGAGGAGCGGCGAGUCAAGAG